UACGUAGGGAGCGAGCGUUGUUCGGAGUUACUGGGCGUAAAGGGCGCGUAGGCGGUUGCUUAAGUCUGGUGUGAAAUCUCCCGGCUCAACCGGGAGGGUGCGCCGAAUACUGAGUGACUAGAGUGCGGGAGAGGAAAGUGGAAUUCCUGGUGUAGCGGUGAAAUGCGUAGAUAUCAGGAGGAACACCGGUGGUGUAGACGGCUUUCUGGACCGUAACUGACGCUGAGACACGAAAGCGUGGGUAGCAAACAGG
rnacentral:rRNA from 1 species